UACGUAGGGCGCAAGCGUUGUCCGGAAUUAUUGGGCGUAAAGAGCUCGUAGGCGGCUCGUUGCGUCGGCUGUGAAAACCCGCAGCUCAACUGUGGGCUUGCAGCCGAUACGGGCGGGCUGGGAUUCGGUAGGGGAGACUGGAAUUCCUGGUGUAGCGGUGAAAUGCGCAGAUAUCAGGAGGAACACCGGUGGCGAAGGCGGGUCUCUGGGCCACUACUGACGCUGAGAAGCGAAAGCGUGGGUAGCAAACAGG
rnacentral:rRNA from 1 species